rnacentral:tRNA from 3 species
GGCCCCAUCAUCUAGCUGGUUAGGAUACGGCCCUCUCAAGGCCGGUGCACGGGUUCGAAUCCCGUUGGGGCUACCA